AUUGUGAAGAAUUUAUUUUCCUACAUUUGGAAAAACUUUGCUAUUUGAUCAUCCUAAAAAUCACUUCAUGUUACUCCGCAAUUAUUCCCAAACAAGACUGCAAUGAUAAAAUGAUAGUAUUGCCCAAAAGAUAGAAUAGUGAAUACAUCAUCACUAUCACAUCAUCCCUCAGUUUCCAUUUAGUAUUCCCUAAAGUACUGUAUAUUAUCUUUCAAUAUGAUAGAUACAAGAAGUCUAGAGACGUAGGCUGAGAAUUCAGGAUUUUUCAUUUUCCACCCAUGACAAAAGAGAAGAAAAUGGAGAGAUCUUUCACACCUAAUACAAACAAAUCAGAAAAUGAACGCAGAGACACACAGUAGCACUCUAGCCUCUGAAGAUGGGGAAAUUGGUCACAGAAGCAAAAUCUUUCCUAGAUGAAUUUUCUUAAACUCAAGAAUUGGUAAGUGAAAGAAAAUGUGGCAUUUUAAGUCAUUCAGCAAAAAGGAUUCCAUUUGCACAAUAUUUUUUUGACAAAGACCUCUACCAUCCCGUUUUGUAUAAUAUUUUUUUAUUAAGAUGCCUAUACCCCCAGAUUUACUUAGUAUACUUUGUUAGUUUGUAAGUGAAGACAUGCUGAGACAGUUGUGUACUAAGGUGAAUGUAGGAAAAUAGAUGCUGUAUUUUAAAAAUUAAUUUGGUUAUUCAAAUUGAUCUUUAUAAAUCAAAAAUCAAAAAUAUUUUAAAAUUAUGGAGCAGAGACGCCUGGGUGGCUCAGCAGUUGAGCAUCUGCCUUCGGCUCAGGACAUGAUCCUGGAGUCCCGGGAUCAAGUCCCACAUCGGGCUUCCAGCAAGGAGCCUGCUUCUCCCUCUGUGUCUCUCAUGAAUAAAUAAAAUCUUUAAGAAAAUAAAAAAUAAAAUUAUGGAGGAAAGAAUAGGACUGUCCUCUCUUCAACAUUAUGAGCCAUCAAAAAUUUUUACAGUGCUCCAUUGUUGGAGCAGCCCCGGUGGCCCAGCACCACCUUCAGCCUGGGGUGUGAUCCCGGAGACCUGGGAUCGAGUGUCCCUUGUUGGGCUUCCUGCAUGGAGUCUGCUUCUCCCUCUGCCUAUGUCUCUGCCUCUCUCUCUGUAAAAAAAUAAUAAAGUAUUCCAUUGUUGACGAUGCAAGUGUAAAACUAGACAAAAAGCAAACCCCAGAAACAAUAAGCUAGAGCCUACUAGAGAUAUAUUUGAAAUCUGAGAUCAGUAGUUAUAAGAUGAAUACAUUCCAGCUUCACACAUGGUAGCUAAUGAGCAUUUAUCUGCAUUCAAGAGAUGGUGCUUUUUGGUAUAUAGGUCUUCCAGGCAAGGAAAAUAUGCAAGUGUUUACUGUUUCCUUACUAUUUUUUUUUAAGAUUUUAUUUAUUCAUGAGAGACAGAGAGGCAGAGACACAGGCAGAGGGAGAAGCAGGCUCCAUGAAGGAAGCCUGAUGUGGGACUCGGAGAUCAUGCCCUGAGCCAAAGGCAGACACUCAACCACUGAGCCACCUGGAUAUCCCUGUUUCAAUCCAUAUAUAUGUGUGUGUGUGUAUAUAUAUAUAGUAUAUAUUCAUGUAUAUACAGUACAUAUAUAUGUAUAUACAUACACAAAUUAUGUAUAUUAUAUAAACAUAUAUAUUAUACAUAAAUAUAUAUGUAUAUAUAUUUUCAUGAAUAUAUGAAUUGAGUUUUACUGAUAUAUAAUUCAGAUCCCAUAAAACCAACCCAUUUGAAGGGUAUAUAAUUCAAUGGUUUUUAGUAUAUUCAGAAUGGUGCUUUACUAGCUAAAACUUUAGUAUUUUUAAAUACCUGUAAAAUUUAUAAAAUGGUUUUCCACUUUCCCUUUAUUCUUACUUCUGGAAAUUAUCUAUAAAAUGACUUAAAAUAUAAAAGGGUGUCAUUGGACUAGAUGGUAAAUAGCAAUGGCUAUUUUUCCUGUUAUAUUGAGGGAAAACCAGUGAGCAAAGAUCCAUCACCUCUGGUCCCUGAAGGGAGAAGGGAAAGCAGCCCUAUUGCUGGGUCUGUGUUCGCCCUCUCCUCUCAGCAAUUUAGGAUCCAAAGGGUCUGGCUCCUCUGACUCUCCACACAAAGGACUGGCGGGAGCACGCUGAUCAUGGGGGCAAUCCCUGGCCAGCCAGUGAAGGUGGAGGGUGGGAUGAACCCAUCCCAGCAGUACUCCCCAUCAGCGGACAAAGGCCCAGCUGUGUCUAGCUGACUGAGCUGCUAAUACAACACAGGACUGAGCAGCAGAGGCCUGGUCUCAUUUGAAUCUCAGGGCCACUGUGGCUCUUUGUAAAAAUAAGGGCUUAGGGUCAAGUAAGUUGUUCCCAACCUCAGGAUUCAUGUUAUUUGCUCUCAAACCAGUUUGCAGGGAUCUUGAAAUAUUCUAAAUAUUUUCCAAGUCUAAGGGAAUUCAUACAUUCCCCUAAGAUGUAGGAUGUGGGUUAAAGUUGCUAUAAAAUGAAGUUAGUAAUGGAACUGGCCCGGAACAGGGAUGUUGAGAAUAAUGAAGUGUUUACAACAAGCUUGGGGCAUUUAACAAUUAAAUUCUCACCACGGUCAUGCUGCUUAUCAAGUUAUACAUGUAGUUUUAAUCAAUAGGGAAGUAGUUUGUUUCAUAAGGGAACAUCAAAAUCUCAUGUUCCUGAGGGAGAAAUAUGGUAAGAAAAACUAUCUUUUGAGGUUGAAAAUGCGGAUUCUCUCACUAGGUGGAUCAUGGCAUGAUAAAAGGCCAAAUUCAGGGAGCCUGGGUGGCUCAGUGGUUGAACAUCUGCCUUUGGCUCAGGUUGUGAUCCUGGGGUCCAGGGAUUGAGUCCUGCAUCAGGCUUCCUACAGGGAGCCUGCUUCUCUGCCUGUAUGCCUCUCUUGAAUGAAUAAAUAUAAAAAUCUGGAAGAAAAAAGAAAAAGCCAAAUUCACCACCUGUAAAAUAGGGCAGUGAGACCUGACCAGUGAUGCCCACUCCACAACAGUAGCAGAAAGCUGUUUCUAUGGUCAGGGCCCUUACAGUUGAGGAGAACCCAAUACCAUGAAGUUAAGCUAUUAAUGAGUCCCAAGAGGAAAUGCUUAAGUACUCAAUAGUAACAUUAACAUUUACAGAGGAUCAGAUACUGUGCUAUGAAAUCAUAGGCAGAUAAACAGCUCAGACAAUAAUACAGGUCCCCAAGUUUGUCCUAAGUUGCGAACCUGGUUUUAAACCCAGUCUGGGAUGCCUGGGUGGCUCAGGGUGUGAUCCUGGGUGUCCAGGAUUGAGUCCUGCAUUGGGCUCCUUGCAGGGAGCCUGCUUCUUCCUCUGCCUAUGUCUCUCAUGAAUAAAUAAAAUCUUUUUUAAAAAUACAAAAAAUAAACCAAGUCUGACUGGAAGGCCUGGGCUCUUAGCUGUUGCCUCCAACGGUAAUAUACUAGAUGAUAAACACUACAGACAGGUACUGAUAGAUCUUUAACUUCCAACAGCCCUGUUGAACUGGAGAUUCACCAUCAGUGGAUCAGUGCCGCUAUCACAUUUGAACCCAGGUCUGAUUGCAAAGCCAUUUCUCCCUACCACCAGUCUCCUUUUUAA
rnacentral:lncRNA from 1 species